UCUGGCGACGAUUGACUGGUUCUUACUUUUAAGUGCGCUUGCGAUAUUGAAUGCCCGUAUAGACAGAACACAGUCAGUACAACGAGUGGAUUGACAACACGGCAAGGAAGUUGAUCGAGAAUGGGAUAAGAUUGAUGACCUGAAGUUACGUUAAGGAGUGAGAGUUCUGCCAGAUACACGAGAUGGGGAGGAAGGACGCAAGCAGUACAAGUGGUACAAGUGCACACCUGCCUCCAGUGGAUCACUACAGAAAACAGAUAGGUAAACAAGAUGUGAAAAAAGGCAAGAAAGAUGCUAAAACCAAGAAAAGACAGACUGAUCAGAAGCGAUCGGCGAUGACAAUACAGGUUAGUGUGCAGGUGACGGC